rfam:Helianthus annuus linkage group 14, whole genome shotgun sequence.
ACGAGGAUGAUGAAAACAAUCAUUCGGAUUCCCAAUGAUUUUCUCUUCGUAAUGGUUUUUAUUCGAAGAGGAUUGUGAUCUUAAAUUCCUGUUUGACUCGU